AUGGGAUUCCCACCCAUCUCUCCCCAUCCCUCCUCUAAACAAACCCCAUUUGGUUAAUGUUUCUGAAAGACUGAAGGCCCCCAAAUUCCCAGGUGUGGCCUGAGCAGUACGGAGGUCCCUGUGGACCUGUCACCUCCCCCUUGAGACACGCCAUUUCUAUUCCCACCUCUGGGUCUAUCUAAGCCCCCAGCCACCUGUCCCAUAGUUCCUGUCCCUCAUCCCUCCUGGCGUUGUGAUUUGAGUGUGCAAAACCUCUCUGGGCUCCUGAAGAGCAGGCAUCCUACCAAGAAAUAGCAAUGCAGGCAAAGAAAACCUCCAACGUAUUAAGCUGGCUUCGUUAGGAGGCCAACUUCUGAAAAUUCAAUUUGCUGGUGGUAGAAACAGGAUAUUGAGUCUGGCCAGGAUGGGCUCUGAGGAGGGCAUCUGAGGGGGAAGAAAGGAGGCAGCAACCUGCGGGGGUAACGGUAACGUUGGGUACAUUCCUCGGCAACACUAAAACCCACUGCUAAUCACAAACAGAUUCCUGCCUGCCCAGGGGCUUUCUUUGUUCACUCCGAUUUCUCCCUCCAAACAUGACACUGAAUCCACCAGGCUCUGCCUCUCUUGGACUUCUGUCACUUCUGUGGGCCUCAGUUUCCCUGUGCUAUAUGAGAGGACUGGGCUAGGGUCUGUAAUCCAAGCCUAAUAUCCCAGGAUCUAAACUUCUCUGACUUAAAAGUCCCCAAGAAUCUGGAAUUCCAGGAUUAUAACAUGCCCAGAUUUUAUGACGGCAGAAUUUGAUGAGUCAAUGAUGGCAGGUUCUAAAGUGCUAUGAUUUUAAGACUCUGUGGCUUGAAGAUCCUGACCUUGUGACUUUCUACGAUUCUAAAAUUUGAAGAGUGUAAGUCUCAACGACUUUAAGUGUCUGUGAGGCAGUGCUGUGUGCUUUAGAGCCAGGCGGCCAGUGACCCUGGGC
rnacentral:lncRNA from 10 species